rnacentral:lncRNA from 1 species
AAACUGAGUCUCAGAGAAAUUAUGGCUUGUCCUGGUUUUCCCAGGCAAGUAAAUGCAGGCCACAGUCUGCCAGCUGCCCAACCAUUCAGGCUUUUCAUUAUUAUAGGAAGCAUCUGGCCAAGGACCACCAACAUCUUCCUGUCCUGCCCCUGAAGCUGUGAGUUCCCCAAGUGGAGACACAGCCUGUUCCCCAACACCUACACUCAUGAACACGGGAGGGUUGGUCAAAAUUGCACAGCUAUCAUGCUUAGUUUUAUACUCAGGUGUAAGUGACUGAUAGAAGGGCCUUUUGGAGGUGGAGAGUGCGCAGGUUCUGAAGAGGCAAGACCGGGGAAGUCUGGACCUGCUUCCAGAGUGUCGUCCCACAAGGCUUAGUGCUCAGGACCUGUAGUGGGUUGAAUAUGUUCCCUAAAGUUCGUGUCUAUCCAGCAUCUCAAAAUGUGAACGCAUUUGGAAACUGGGGCUUUGAAGACGUAAGUAGUUAAGGAUCUUGAGAUGAAAUCAUGCUGGAUAUAGGAUGGGCCUUAAAUUCAAUGACUGGUAUCUUUAUAAGAGAAAGGAGAGGGAAAUUCGGACACACAGAGAUGAGUAAGAAGCCAUGUGAAGAUGGAGGGAGAGAUUGGAAUGAGGCUGUCACGAGCCAAGGAACAUCAGAAGCCACCAGAAGCUGAAAGAAGCAAGGAAGGAUUCUCCCUGAGAGCCUUUAGAGGGAGCAUGGUACUUUAUUUCAGACUUCUGGUCUCCAGAACUGUGGAAGAAUACAGUUCUGUUGUUUUAAGCUACCAAGUUUGUGGUCAUUUG